GUAGGUGGCAAGCGUUGUCCGGAAUUAUUGGGCGUAAAGCGCGCGCAGGGCGGUCCUUUAAGUCUGAUGUGAAAGCCCACGGCUCAACCGUGGAGGGUCAUUGGAAACUGGGGGACUUGAGUACAGAAGAGGAAAGCGGAAUUCCAAGUGUAGCGGUGAAAUGCGUAGAGAUUUGGAGGAACACCAGUGGCGAAGGCGGCUUUCUGGUCUGUAACUGACGCUGAGGCGCGAAAGCGUGGGGAGCAAACAGGAUUAGAUACCCUGGUAGUCCACGCCGUAAACGACGAGUGCUAAGUGUUAGGGGGUUUCCGCCCCUUAGUGCUGCAGCUAACGCAUUAAGCACUCCGCCUGGGGAGUACGGCCGCAAAGGCUG
rnacentral:rRNA from 1 species